AAACUAACAAGGAUUCCCCUAGUAGCGGCGAGCGAAGCGGGAAGAGCUCAAAUUUAUAAUCUGGCACCUUCGGUGUCCGAGUUGUAAUCUCUAGAAGUGUUUUCCGCGUUGGACCGCACACAAGUCUGUUGGAAUACAGCGGCAUAGUGGUGAGACCCCCGUAUAUGGUGCGGACGCCCAACGCUUUGUGAUACACUUUCGAAGAGUCGAGUUGUUUGGGAAUGCAGCUCAAAUUGGGUGGUAAAUUCCAUCUAAAGCUAAAUAUUGGCGAGAGACCGAUAGCGAACAAGUACCGUGAGGGAAAGAUGAAAAGCACUUUGGAAAGAGAGUUAACAGUACGUGAAAUUGUUGGAAGGGAAACGCUUGAAGUCAGACUUGCUUGCCGAGCAAUCGGUUUGCAGGCCAGCAUCAGUUUUCCGGGGUGGAUAAUGGUAGAGAGAAGGUAGCAGUUUCGGCUGUGUUAUAGCUCUCUGCUGGAUACACCUUGGGGGACUGAGGAACGCAGUGUGCCUUACGGCGGAUUUCUCGAGAUCUUCACACUUAGGAUGCUGGUGGAAUGGCUUUAAACGACCCGUCUUGAAA
rnacentral:rRNA from 1 species